rnacentral:misc_RNA from 1 species
UAUUUUGGAACAAGAGUGUGGACCAUAUCACCCUGACACUCUUGGGGUAUAUAGCAAUCUUGCUGGAACUUAUGAUGCAAUGGGCAGGUUGGAUGAUGCAAUUGAGAUGUUGGAACACGUUGUUGGGGUGAGGGAGGAAAAACUCGGGACAGCAAAUCCAGAUGUAGAUGAUGAGAAGAAGAGGUUAGCUGAAUUGUUGAAAGAAGCAGGAAGAGUUCGAAGCAGAAAAGCCAAGUCACUUGAGAAUCUCCUUGAUUCCAACUCUCCUAGCAUAAACAAAGAUGAUCUUACAGUAUUGUAAGGAUGUUUUAUACACACGGGUAUUUAAAUUGAAUAUAAUAUUAUGAUGUAUUAUAGGACUUAAUUUAAGAAGAAAUGAAAUGGAAAGGAAG